UCUCACAUUUUUCUUCCAAGACGGGCUCGGGCAUAAACAGUCCGGACGGUGGGCAUCCGGGCUCCGGGGUCCUGACGGCUCUAUCCGGUGUUUGUCAUUUCCCCGGAGACGGCUGCGGGUGGGCCGAGCUUUGGCACAGACAUUCGUGUGUCCCAGGGGCGGCCAGGACGAGUGGGGCCAGAGGGCGGUGUCUAUCCAGCUGGCCACGUGAUGGUGCCCUGUCCACAGUGUGGCCCGGGCGGCACAGCCGGCUGUGUUUGGCUCCACAGGAAGUUCAUGGCGUGGAGGUGGGGGUGUCAGGUGAGGGCAGCUCUGUCCACAGCCUCUCGACACUUCUGCUCGAAGGAGCCUUCUCCCGGCUGAGGUGACCUCCAGUGGCCUUUGUCUCCUCGGUAGGGGCAGGGAAGGGCCACCCGGCGUCCAGCCCACCCCAGCUGCCCUGAGGGUGACCCUCGCUCUGCCUCGAGGGGGUGGCCCCCAUCACACCGUCCAGGUGGGUGACAGGGUGGCUGCAGCGAGGCCCUGGACACAUGCUGUCCUCAUCAGCACCCAGACACUCCGUGUCCAUGGCCACUGGGGUGUCCUCUGAGGAGCCCACGCUGAGGGGGUGACUGGGUGACCUCACCUUGCCGGGAGGCGGCAGGGCCCAGAAUAAUACAUUAUGAGGAGCAGAAGAGAAAUGGUGCCAUGGAGUGGCCCUGAAGUUGGGUCACCUCUGUGAGCUCUGAUCCCGGGAGGACCAGCGGCCCCUGCCCGAGACACAGUCUCCACCCUGUCCUUUCCAAGGGCCAUCUACCCGGCCAAGAGGCCAAGGAAGCCGAGGCAGGCAGGCCCAAGGAGACUGAGCUGUGGCGUGGGGCUUUGGGAGGCCAGCCCAUCUGGUUUGUGUUAUGUUUAUAAGGACGAUGGCAAAUAAGGGUCUUAGAGCUAAUUUAGUUAUUUAGGGAAAGACGACUCGAUGCUGGAGUCAGUGGAGCUGCCUGGCGGGAGGAGGGGCAGUGCCAAGGCUCUGGGGCAAAGAUGGAGAUCUUUUCAAAAAUAGCCCUGCGAGCAGCACGCAGGGCCUCCAGCUGCAGGGCUCUCAGGCCCCUCCUCCCGCCCGGCCUCCUCCACUCUCACGCCAAUCCUGACCCAUCCUCCCGCCCUGGGAUGUUGGUUCCCACCAUGGUUUGGGAAUGCAGGUAGCACACAAGCAAGAACACAGGGGGACACACGGCGACCCCUCUCCAAGCCCAGGCCAGGGCUCCUAAGGCACCGAAGCUCUCUGGAUCCCAGAGGAGCCUGGAUAUCCGCGUUCCUGCAUCUCAGCGCUGUAUGUCUGCUGUCAGCAGCAGGACCCAUCCGUGCUCCAAAGCCAGGGACCUGACCCAGUUCCCAGGGGCCAGGAAUGACGUCAGGGUGACUUCCGGGCUGCAGCCCAUGGCACAGGCUCCUCCCUCAGGCCGAGGGCUUUCAGCUCUCAGCAGAGGCCGGCUGCCCUUGGCCUGUUUUUAAGGAAAGAGCUCAAGCUUCUGCAUGAAACUAAGAUGGGUUCAAAUCCUAGCUCCCUUUCCCCAGGCGUGAGAGCCUGAGAGGGCACCUGGAACCAAGAUGGGGACGGAACAAGGAGGCCUGACGUGUGGUGGUCACAGGGCCGGGCACCGGGGGAGGGAGCCCCACCCCACCGCUGGAGAGAGGCGGAGGGCGGCCGGCCUUGUCCACGGGGUCAGCGAGGGCAGGGAGUCACCUCAGCUGUGGGGCUGUGUGAUGUUCGCCUCAGCACACAGGAGAGGCCUCUCCGGCCCUCUCUUCUCUAACCCCCUCUCCUCUGUCACCAUCCUUGGGGUUCAGCAUGGCUGAAUCAUCCAUAUUGAUUUUGAUCCAAACGGCAGGAUCUACUGGAUGAAGACUCCAUCCCCUCGCCCCACGGUCCCCAUGGGGGACGCCCCGCACGCUCCUCAGGGAGGGCAGCCACUCAGCCUGAGGCUCCAGUCCCACCACGCUGCUCCUCCAGAGCCCGAGCGGGCGCUGCACAGUCAGAACCCUUUUCACCAGCGCUGUCACGAGGGCCCAGAGGGAAGGAAAAGCCCUAACCCCUCGCCCAGGCCUGCGGCACUAGUUUUCAACUCUUCAGGAAGCCAGCUUGCCAGAGUUGGGGAGAUUUCGGAGAAACACAUCAGCCCCACCCAGAACCAAGUGGUGGGAGACCUGGAGGGUCAGGGCAUUUGUGCCCCGACGGGGACCUGAAGCCCGGUGGACACUGGGAACCACUGUCCACUCGACCUUGCUGCCAUCCGCUGCUUCUGUUCUCUCAGCCGCUGGCUCUGUGUGGAUCCUGACCAGCAGCUGCUGCCUCCCCGAGAACUUGUCAGAAAAGCAGACUCUCAGGCCCAGCUGCCCCUGUGGAGCCCUAAGUCUGGGGUGGGCCCGGCCAUCUCCGGGCCUCGCUGGUGGUUCUGCUGCAGGCUAACAUCUUCCUGCCGACUGUGACACACACGCGCUUGCUCCAGCCUCUGCGCUCGCUCCUCAGGUCCCAGCUGAGCAGUUGCUCUUGGGCACCCCUAGCCCUCUCCUGCUGGCCAGCUCAGGUGCCGGGGAGUCGGCAUCUUGAAGCUUUGCCUGGGCUGGAUGGAGAAGCUCCAGUCUUCGCCUUCACCUUGGACGCCACCUCCUGGCUUCCAGUGCAGGCUCUUCAGCUUCCAGCGUAGACCAUCGGCCUCCUGAUACUGACUUGCACGGGACACUGCAGUGAGCUCCAGACCUUCCACUGAAUCAUCGGUUCAACUUUAGCUGAGUGAAUCUGAGGGAGGUUCUCAGGAGAUAAGGCAACCUUAACACAAUUCUUUGCUUUCUACUUAACUUACCAUUUAUCAUUGCAACAUUAACCAUAAUUCACCUCCUCCGACUCUGUGGAUGGCCACUGUAAGCCAAUCUUGUAAAUUCUUAUAUAUAUAUAUAUCUUCAAUUAUAUCUAUUUCUCUACUAAACACUGACUGAUACAGAUUUUGGUACCAGGAGUGCCUCUAGAGAAGCCGUUGUAAAGAGGAAAUUAUUUAGUGGCUUUAAGGGUUCCUGAAGUCAGCUCUCUACUUUGAUGAGGCCUAAAGAUGCCAUGGUCUUUCCUUCUAAUUCGGUGUAGAAUACUGAUAAUCGUGGCGUGAACUGUCUAAAAUAACAUGCAAGGUAGAUCCAUUUGAUUAUCCUAAUUCACCACUUGUGAGAUAGAUAUAAGAAAUUCAGUGACUACAUACUUGCAAGUUUUGAAUAUUUUUGGCAGAGUGGGAAAUGUAAUGGUUCUGUCUGGUUGGUCUUAGCAUCUCUGGACAAACCAGUGAAGGAAAACAGGAGCUCAAAGCAUCCAUGGGAAAUCUAGAGUCUGCUGACUGUGAGAACAAAUUAACAAAGGAAAAUAAGGAGGUCUAGGUUUCAAAUCCCAGCUCCAGACACAUAAGAAAUCUAAAAGUUUCUUAGUGUAUCCUGAAAGAAAAUGUCCUCGCUUUCAGCCGCAGGGGCAAGAUUGUAGAAAGCCAAACACAGGCCCUCCUAAUUUGAUUGGCUGAAAUACAGCCUAAGUUUAAUGCCCAGCCUCGAAGGGGACCUGAUUGGAGAAGAAUGGGAUCCCAUAAACUGGGAUGGAGACGUCUGGGAGGGCCCUGGGAGGCUGGGGAUGUUGAGCUCCAAGGCUCCAGUGAGAUUGUUUGGCCAGAGGAAGGGAUUUCCCCACCCGAAAUGGCAGAGGCUUCUCCACCCCACCCCCUGUGGUCUGGUCCCUCCUAGUAGCCUGAGGACACUGAUCCUGUGCUGACCAAGCGUGAUGAUGCUGACACUCCCCAGGACCCAGCCUCACUACCCACUUUUGCCUCUAGGUCCAUAGCCAGGCUCCAAUUGCAGAAGGCUCCUAAGGGUGAGGCACACAGUGUGACCCAUGAGGAGUCCACUGUUCUCCCAGAGAACUUGUCGAGUUUUCUAACUCUUACAAGCAGAGGCCUGGUGAGCACGUGUGGGAAUGGAUCUUCUGGUGUGGGAUGAUGGUGGCCGAAAUAUACACCUGGAUCAGGCCGAGUUUGUUGCUAUGGGCCCAUUAAGCAGGGAUUCUGAAUUUAAUGCUGCAGCUCGUGGAGUAAAGAAAAGGGUUAAUAGUUUAUUUGGCUGGUCAGCAGAAGUAUGGGUCAAAUGAUGGCCCACUGUGAGUGAGUUAGAGAUGCCUGAUAUUCCAUGAUUUACUGUUUAUGAAGGGAUUCAGAGGCUCAGGGAAAUGGGAAUGCAGGCGUGGAUCUGUCAUGUUAAACCUAAUCCUCCACACUGGGAAAUCCAGGAAACGUACCCUUCACUAACACCUUGAGAAACAGAUUGGUGAGGGGAGCACAGCACCCUGAAGAGCCCGGUCACUGGUCUUCUCUAUGCCAGACCUUACAGUGGGAACCUCGGUUACUCAGCUGAGAAAUUUAAGGGCACUGGGCUUGAUUGGAUCCCAGAGUGGCAGAGGCCAAGUGGCAGCACUUCAUCACCAAAGGCAGGGUGCAAACACUUACCAUAAUGGACAGCAGAAGCAGAACAAUGACCAGAAUAAUCUGACACAUCUAGACCUAUGGCGUUGGCUGAUCAGCUAUGGUGUUCCCAGAAGUGAAAUAGAUGGGAAGCCUACAAAAUUUUUAAUAGAUUUAUAUAAUCAAAAAAAGGUAAGGGGAAAUGAACAGAAAGCUACUUUAAAUCGUGGUAACAGGUAAUCACAGCCCCUCCGCCAGUUCCCAGAUUUGAGGCAGUUUAUAGACCCAGAACCCCUUGAAUGAAGGGGAGGUUGGGUUCCCUUGAGGAAGGACGCUGAUGCACCAAAAACGUAGCCAGUCUUUCUCCCCUCCUGCCCCAGGGGACCUAAGGCCUUUUGCCUGAGUGACUGUACGCUGGGGGAAGGGAAAUGAUCAGACAUUUUAGGGACUACUGGACACUGGUUCUGAACUAACACUGAUUCCAGGGGAUCCAAAAUGUCACUGUGGCCCUCCAGUAAGAGUCGAGCUAUGGAGGUCAGGUGAUCAAUGGAGUUUUAGCAAAGGCCCCUUCCUUGCUUGCAUUGCUACCUUCUGCCCAUCAUGAGGUGUUUCUCCUCUGCAAUGCCUUUCUGCCAUGGCACCUUGCCUUGGAGCCAGCUGAUUUUGGACUUAAAAGUCUACAAAACUCUGAGCUAAAUAAACCUUUCCCCUUUUAACUUUGGGAGUCGGGUAUUUUGUCUCAGCAACAAGAGAAAGGUAACUGAGACAUGGAGUGUGGUGAUCAAUUAACUGUGUCAGCAUGAGCACAGGUGUGGCAGGCUUGGAGUCCCCAGCAAUCUGCAUCCAGGUAACCCUUUUCUGUCCACCCUGGAAGCCUCCAUCCUUGUCUGUUUCUGUGUCCCAGGCUGCAGCAGGCUUGAGUCAUUUACUUUCUUUACAGUCUUAGCAAGAAAAAAAUCCAGGUUUGCUGCCAUUUUUUGGGGGGGUGUACCGGGGAUUGAACUUGGGUCCUCGUGCUUGUGAGGCAGGCGGCGGAACCUCUGAGCUAAAUCCCCAGCCCCAUGCUGCCAUUUUUGAUAAAAUCCAAGGGACCGAAAUUCCCGAGGACAACUGUAAGGGAGCGAUGUAACUCUCUGUCCCAGGAAGUCUCCUCCAUUCUAGCCCUGUGAUGUCCAUCCAGCUUGUCUCUUUCACCCGGCUUUGAAGUCCAAGUGACUUCUGUUUCUAAUUCUUUCUUUCCUUUAGAGAAAAACCUGUUUGGGUCUGGCUGGAAAAGGAAUAUAUCUUCGUGAGAGAAGGUCGGUAAAAUGCUAAAGAAAAAGGCCCAGGAAUGAAAUAAAAAUCACCCUAAAUCCCACCACCCAGGAAUAACUAAGCUUUAAUACUGUGGCUGCAUCUUCUAGGCACUGUCCACCCGCUGUGACCCGUGUGACACAUUGCCUGACGCCACGCCUGUAAACCCCAAGACAAGCUUGGGCUCCUCCAGGAGGCCCAGGGUGUGACACUGACAGGCCGCAGUCGCCGUGGUGACUGGGCUGGUGGGGCGAUGUGUCCUCCUUCCUUCACCCACUCCCAUGUCCAGACACUGCUUCCUCCUCAGCCGCUCUGGAAGCUCGCGGGCUGUUGGGACAGUAGCCCUCACCCCAGUCUGAGAGUAAAGGGUCCCUAAGGAGGCGGAGAAGCUCCGAGGGUGCUGGGGGACCUUACAGCCAUCCGAGAAAGGGCAGGAUGGAGUGAGGGACUUUGUUGGAGGGAGGUGCCUGGACUUUGAUCUAUAGGUUGUGUCCCCACAGUGUAGACCCCCUGUGACUCCUCCUAAGUCAUAGUUAUCAAGGUCAAGGUCUGUUCAUUUCAUGUCUAGGUGAACAAAAAGGCUUUGUAGAUUCACAAUGCAAGUGUGCCCUCGCCCUAGGAGUUCAGGCACAGUUGGAUCUGGGUAUCUGAAUGCGGGGUAGGAACCCACCUCUCUCCCUACCCCAUUCCGCCUUUUUCUUUGUUGGUUUGGUCACAGGGAGUGCUGCCUCUCACUCUGGGCCCGGUCUCCUGACUGUGGGCAUGGCCAGGGGCAUCUCUGAACCACUGAGGUGACUUGGUUUGCCUGGGCCCAGAUCCUUGUUCACCAAGGUAACAUCCACCCCCAGUCUGGUGGCCCGGGGGGCAGUUCCCAGGAGGACUCUGCACAGAUCCAGGAAGCAGGUACCCCAGAUCUCCUGAACCACCGCGCCUUUCCUGUUACCAGUCAGCAGGGACUUGGCCGUCAGACUUGGCCUCUUGCAGGCAGGGCUGCUCAGCCCAGGUGGGGCCUGGGUCCUCAGGCAGAAGUGAGGACUCUCGAGCCCAGGAGCUGAGUGAGGAGCCACUGUGUGCUGGCUUUGUGGACACGCUGUGCCAACUCACCAUCCUCUCCCGGCCUGCCCAUCACAGCAGGAUGCUCGAGCAGAUUCCCAGCCUUCUGGGCCAGGCUCUGGCUUCCGUGUGGGAGGACAGACCAUCCUGCUGGCCCACAGCUAUGUCUGCGUGGGCCCCGAGCCCGGCCUUUGCACCUGACCC
ensembl:lncRNA